GCUUAUUCAACUGCGACGCGGAACAGACAGGAAUUACUGGAAAAGUGCCGAUUCCCGGAUCUAUCAUUAAAAACAUUUUAAAGCUCGGCAAAGCUAGAAGAUAGCCAAAAUUCCGGAUUCCGAUUAGCUACUCCGAUCUGAUCAAGAUUGCAUAGUACAUUUUCCGGUUGGAAACACUCUCUUUGGCACAAAUACCACACAGGGGAACUUACCUCCCGGCCGCUUUGUUAAGGGCAUCUGGCGUGUCGACUGGCGGCAAACUUUCCGUAUCCCAUUGCCCGGCGGCGAACGAUAUAUUCGAGGGCGUUUCGAAGGAGUGUCCCGACUCCUGCGGAAUAUCG